rnacentral:rRNA from 1 species
GACGAACGCUGGCGGCGUGCCUAAUACAUGCAAGUAGAACGCUGAAGAGAGGAGCUUACUCUUCUUGGAUGAGUUGCGAACGGGUGAGUAACGCGUAGGUAACCUGCCUUGUAGCGGGGGAUAACUAUUGGAAACGAUAGCUAAUACCGCAUAACAAUGGAUGACACAUGUCAUUUAUUUGAAAGGGGCAAUUGCUCCACUACAAGAUGGACCUGCGUUGUAUUAGCUAGUAGGUGAGGUAAUGGCUCACCUAGGCGACGAUACAUAGCCGACCUGAGAGGGUGAUCGGCCACACUGGGACUGAGACACGGCCCAGACUCCUACGGGAGGCAGCAGGAGGGAAUCUUCGGCAAUGGGGGCAACCCUGACCGAGCAACGCCGCGUGAGUGAAGAAGGUUUUCGGAUCGUAAAGCUCUGUUGUAAGUCAAGAACGGGUGUGAGAGUGGAAAGUUCACACUGUGACGGUAGCUUACCAGAAAGGGACGGCUAACUACGUG